CAGCUGAGGACAGGGUCCCCUCCCUUUGCCUGCCACAUAAAUAUUGGCAACGAGGACCCAGACUCUGAAGGACAGGACAUUCCAAAGAAAAUAGUUUUCAUUUUAAGUUGCCUUUAAAUGUAUAUAUAUAUAUAUGUGUGUGUGUGUGUGUGUGUGUGCAUAUAUAUACACAUAACAUAUAAUGUUUAUUAUAUAUAUUGAAAUUGCACCUGUUUUGGCAUGAGGGUGAAGGCGAGUGAAAGAAGGUGACCGAGCCAGGAGGCGAGAGCGCACGGAUGGCUUGGUGGUGGUAUGGUGUGCUCCAUCGGCUGCCAACCUAGGGCCAUCGCCUGCCUCCAUCACCCCUUCGCCUGCCUGCCCACCACCCAAUCCCAAAUGGGUACUGGAUCAGGUGCCGAAAUCUGGCUGCCUCCUCGGGCAUGGGCACGGCAGCUGCCACCCCUGUGCCCAUGGAGAUGGGAGGGGACGACUGGAGGGGCAGCGACAGGAGUCCUUGUGCUCUGGGAGGAAGACGUGGAGAGCUGAAUGACAGACGGAGUGCCGCAUGAGGACACAAUGGAGGGAGCGUGCCAUCGCUAAGACCCCAAGGAAGAAGCGUGUUGAGCCCCGACAGUCGUGCUGGCCUCCAGUCAUCUCCCCGCCGAAGAUGGCCGUAUCCUCUAGCCUGGUCUGAGUUCGGAGCCGCCCAUGGCUGAAGCUCAGGAUACUCUGAAGAGCUGAGAGUCCUUCUUCAGCGGCUGGGCCAUUCUGUAGCAGCUGCAGACGCCUCUGGGCCUGGGCAUCGCGGUGGGCAGGAGAAACUAGAACCAUGGAAGAGGCCGGCUCAGAUGUAGAAGGGACACCUCCAGAUCUCUGGGGACACUCCCUCCUCACUGAACUCUUACUCCUGGCUCACCUCCCUCUCCCCUUCUACAGUCACCUACGUAGCACUGCUUUGUCUCUGAAUUUCCCUCUUUCUCCUACCGACCCUGGGUUCCCGAGGAUGUGGCUGCAAUCUGCUGCUGUCCUCUCGAACUUCUGAUAACAUGAUGGGCUGGACUGAGAUGGACUCAUCCUCCAGCCUACAUGCCAGAAGAGCUGAAUAAAGUCUGUUUCUCCUCCUCACA